rnacentral:rRNA from 1 species
GAUGAACGCUGGCGGCGUGCCUAAUACAUGCAAGUCGAGCGAACAGACGAGGAGCUUGCUCCUCUGACGUUAGCGGCGGACGGGUGAGUAACACGUGGAUAACCUACCUAUAAGACUGGGAUAACUUCGGGAAACCGGAGCUAAUACCGGAUAAUAUAUUGAACCGCAUGGUUCAAUAGUGAAAGACGGUUUUGCUGUCACUUAUAGAUGGAUCCUCGCCGCAUUAGCUAGUUGGUAAGGUAACGGCUUACCAAGGCGACGAUGCGUAGCCGACCUGAGAGGGUGAUCGGCCACACUGGAACUGAGACACGGACCAGACUCCUACGGGAGGCAGCAGUAGGGAAUCUUCCGCAAUGGGCGAAAGCAUGACGGAGCAACGCCGCGUGAGUGAUGAAGGUCUUCGGAUCGUAAAACUCUGUUAUUAGGGAAGAACAAAUGUGUAAGUAAAUAUGCACGUAUUGACGGUACCUAAUCAGAAAGCAACGGCUAACUACGUG